AAAUUGCACAAUGGGCGAAAGCCUGAUGCAGCCAUGCCGCGUGUGUGAAGAAGGCCUUAGGGUUGUAAAGCACUUUCAAUAGGGAAGAAAAGGUGUGUGCUAAUACCUGAUAGCUGUGACGUUACUGAUAGAGGAAGCACCGGCUAACUCCGUGCCAGCAGCCGCGGUAAUACGGACGGUGCGAGCGUUAAUCGGAAUUACUGGGCGUAAAGCGCGCGCAGGCGGUUUGUUAAGCGAGAUGUGAAAGCCCCGGGCUCAACCUGGGAACUGCAUUCUGAACUGGCCGACUAGAGUGCGAUAGAGGGAGGUGGAAUUUCAUGUGUAGCGGUGAAAUGCGUUGAGAUAUGAAAGAAUACCGGUGGCGAAGGCAGUCACCUGGGUCUACACUGACGCUCAUGUACCAAAGCGUGGGGAGCAAACAGGAUUA
rnacentral:rRNA from 1 species